rnacentral:lncRNA from 1 species
GUGCGGCACUGCAAGCGGCCAGGGGCCACGGGGAGCAGGUGGGGAAUAAGGGAGAAGGGUAUGGGCGACAGAGCCCAGCAGGGGAACCCGGGGAGGGGAGGGGGAACAGAUUACAGGCAGAGCCAAAGCAUCAUAGCAGGGGCACCCAUUCCCCAUACAGCAGAGUGAGAAAAACUGCAUAAAGUAACCCAGAAUAACAAUAAAUCAAUGAGCAGUAUACAGAAUCUAUCAGAUAAAUAGCCUAAAUACAGCAACAGAUGUUAACAAAUGAUACAGCAGCUACAUAGCAUGAAGUGGU